ACGCUCGACACCUACGGGAGGCAGCAGUGGGGAAUAUUGCACAAUGGGGGAAACCCUGAUGCAGCGACGCCGCGUGAAGGAAGAAGUAUCUCGGUAUGUAAACUUCUAUCAGCAGGGAAGAAAAUGACGGUACCUGACUAAGAAGCCCCGGCUAACUACGUGCCACAGCCGCGGUAAUCUGAGCGGGCUGCAAGGC
rnacentral:rRNA from 1 species